AAGCGCCACACUCUCGACAGAGUUGGGAAUAUACUGCACAGAAUCGAUAAGGUUACAGAGAUAGGAUAUUAUUGGAUUUGGCGGACUCUCAAGGCACCACAUCAAGCGACAUAGACGUUUUAUGGCAGAAGGAUAUCAUUUGCCCGAUCACGGAUCGCUGUCCUGGCUGGAAGAUGUUAGAAAGAGGAGGAGGAUUAGAGGGGAGAUCGGGCAUUACAGUGUUGGAGCGUGAAGCUGAUUACCUGGAGAAAUAUGGAGAUGCUUCCCUUCUGCGAGAAUCUGUAAUCAGAAGGCAGAAAAUCCCAGAAAGAGCUCGCUCAUUCUAGACAGGGAUGAGAAGACAUUUCUUCACUCAGACAGCAGUGAAUCUGUGUAAUCUGGCGUGGUUGAGUCAUUAAGUACAUUUACAGCACAGACGCACAGAAUUUUAAUUGAUCAAUGCAACAAGGGUUACAUUGAAAAGGCAAGAAAGAAGAGGUGGGGUUCAUCGGAACAGCCGCGAUCUGACAAAGGGGCUAAAUGACCUCUCCUACGUCUCAUGGUCUUAACUAUAUUUGUCUCAAAAUCAAAAGAUAUUGUAAUAUGGUUAUCUUCCAAGAAAAUGCCUUUACAGUGACGUUAUCAAUCAGACCUUUCUCAUUGCAUUACACCUGAGAAAUACUAGCCCAUUAGUCAAGACUAGUCAGUGUUUACUCCUCAAUAUGCUAAUA